AGACUAUGGUGUGGACAACAUCUCAGCAAGUCCUUGUACCUCUCCCAAGCAUCGUACAUGCUUUCGUCAUCCAUCUACGCAAAAGAAAAAAUGUCAUUUCUUAACUU
rnacentral:snoRNA from 1 species